CUUUUUGAUUUAAAUAUAAAGUAUAACCUGCCCAUUGAAAUUUUAAAAGGCUGCGGUAUAUUGACCGUACAAAGGUAGCAUAAUCAUUAGUUUUUUAAUUGGAAACUYGUAUGAAUGGUUGAAUGAGGAAUAAACUUUUUUAAUAGAAAAAUUGAAUUUUACAUUUUAAUUAAAAGGUUAAAAUAUAUUUAAAAGACGAGAAGACCCUAUAGAGUUUUAUAAUUUAUAUUUAAUGUUAAAAAAAAUUAAUAAAUAUUUUUAUUUAAAUAAUUAUUUUGUUGGGGUGAUGAUAAAAUUUAAUUAACUUUUAUUUUUUUUUACAUUAAUAAAUGAAUAAUUGAUCCACUAAUAGUGAUUAAAAAAUUAAAUUACCUUAGGGAUAACAGCGUAAUUUUUUUUUUAAGUUCAUAUUAAU
rnacentral:rRNA from 1 species